GAUGAACGCUGGCGGCGUGCCUAAUACAUGCAAGUCGAGCGAACAGACGAGGAGCUUGCUCCUCUGAUGUUAGCGGCGGACGGGUGAGUAACACGUGGAUAACCUACCUAUAAGACUGGGAUAACUUCGGGAAACCGUAGCUAAUACCGGAUAAUAUAUUGAACCGCAUGGUUCAAUAGUGAAAGACGGUUUUGCUGUCACUUAUAGAUGGAUCCGCGCCGCAUUAGCUAGUUGGUAAGGUAACGGCUUACCAAGGCAACGAUGCAUAGCCGACCUGAGAGGGUGAUCGGCCACACUGGAACUGAGACACGGUCCAGACUCCUACGGGAGGCAGCAGUAGGGAAUCUUCCGCAAUGGGCGAAAGCUUGACGGAGCAACGCCGCGUGAGUGAUGAAGGUCUUCGGAUCGUAAAACUCUGUUAUUAGGGAAGAACAAAUGUGUAAGUAACUAUGCACGUCUUGACGGUACCUAAUCAGAAAGCCACGGCUAACUACGUG
rnacentral:rRNA from 1 species